UCACAUUUUCCGGACUCAUGUUUUACCAUCGGUAUUUAGAUAAUAGGUCUAAAGUCUAAAAAUGUCAAAAAAAAGCCUAAACUUUCAAAUUUGGGAUGGAAAAGGCAUGAACUUUGAAAAUGUCAUAUUAAUUAUGAAGUUUUGGUUGACUUCUCAAAAAAUAGCUAACUUUCGUUGACUGACCCGUUAAAGGCAUGCCGUUAAAUUUCCGUUAACAGAAUAAUAACAGAGUUAUCAUUUCGUUAGAAACCCAAAACGACGUCGUUUUAAAAUUUAAAAUUAAACAGAAAAAAUGACUACCACCUGAGCUCAAACAUGAGACAUGAGAAUACUUUUACA
rnacentral:sRNA from 1 species